rnacentral:tRNA from 1 species
UAGAGACUUAGGCUAAUCUAAACCGAGGGCCUUCAAAGCCCUAAAUAAGAGACAUCCUCUUAGUCCCUGAC